rnacentral:lncRNA from 1 species
AAUGGACUAACGAACAAAAAAUAAAAGUAUUAUUUUAUUUAUAGAAUAAUGUUAUUAUUUUUUUGUUUUUCACUUUAUUUUUUAUUUUAUUUUUUUCAUUUUGAAGUAAAUAUAAAGUGCGAUUGGAGAUGUUAUUAAAUACGUGAAUUCAAUGUAUUAAAUGUCAUCGAUGAUAAAUAAAUAAACGUAACCAUACCAUUCCACAUGUGCUGCUAAUAGUUGGGUGUCGUUACCUCCCCACUCCCCAUGCCUAGUUUGGU